UACGGGGGGGGCAAGCGUUGUUCGGAAUUACUGGGCGUAAAGGGCUCGUAGGUGGCCAACUAAGUCAGACGUGAAAUCCCUCGGCUUAACCGGGGAACUGCGUCUGAUACUGGCUGGCUUGAGUUUGGGAGAGGGAUGCGGAAUUCCAGGUGUAGCGGUGAAAUGCGUAGAUAUCUGGAGGAACACCGGUGGCGAAGGCGGCACCCUGGACCAGCACUGACACUGAGGAGCGAAAGCCAGGGGAGCAAACGGG
rnacentral:rRNA from 1 species